rnacentral:tRNA from 1 species
GCGGGUGUAGUAUAGUGGCUAUUAUGCAAGCUUCCCAAGCUUGAGACACGGGUUCAAUUCCCGUCACCCGCUCCA